AUGGCUCAGAGAACUUUCCUUUUACGAUGCAAACAAAUCGUUAAUGAGUGUACUCGACUUCUACAAGGGGACAGUCCACCAGAUGACGCAUUUCAAACAGUUCUAGCAAGAAUGGAAACCCUUAAACGCUGUCUGGAAUGCUCAAGAGGGAGGUUGAUGGAUGCAACAGCAGUACAAGACAUCCUUGAAAACAUUGAGAAAUAUACUCAGGAGGUCAAGGAAAUGCAACAGGGGGCUCAACAAGUGCUUAUAGACACAAGCUGUUACGGCGAUAAAGAGGCACGUGAUGGCUGGACUGUCAUGCGAGGUGGUGUCAGCAAAAGUAAAACUCACAAGUCAUAGAGUCAAUUGACUCUCUGCAUAUUCGUUGAACCGAGGGCUGCUUGAAGUGCUGUUUCUGUUGUAAUAGAGGUGCGGUCAGGAAAAUAACUUUUCUUAAAUAUGACAUAUAUAGAUGCUUCAGUCGAACAAGUCUGUCACAAACAAGUAAUUCCUUUUCCUAGAGAUGUGUUUUGAUCAUUUAUCAUUAUCAAACAUGUGAUCACAUGACUUUUACUGGCUAAUGAAUUAUGCCUUCUACAUUAAACAAUUACUGUCUUUUUGUCCUCUACAGAUUAACGUGCACACGCAUCAUAGACCAGAAGCACAAGUGGCCAUUGGUUUUAAUGCUGUCAACUAGGGCUCAAGCAUGCAUUAAAGAGUCCAUUUACCUAAGAUGAUGUGGUUGUUAUUGCUCCUGAUACAAAGUUUUCUGUGUGUACACUUAAUGUCAGUUUUCACAAAGACAAAUUCUGUAACAUCUGUUUUCUCUGUUUGAUUAUGGCAGGUAAUGUUUAUAUUAGUGUUUAGAAAGAUAAAAGAAGGUACAGUACUGGGUUGUAUAGCACCGACGCCUGUGUGGUUACGUGUAACACUUGACUAUUUUAAAUAGAUUUCAGUAUUCCCCAGUAAAUAAAAAAAAUUCUACAAAUGUCCA
rnacentral:lncRNA from 1 species